UGUGAGGGUUAACAGACAGUAGUCAGGCUUGCCUUUCAGUCAGGUGUCAGUGUGAGGGUUAACAGACAGUAGUCAGGCUUGCCUUUCAGUCAGUUGUCAGUGUGAGGGUUAACAGACAGUAGUCAGGAAUGGUCUUCAGUCAGGUGUCAGUGUGAGGGUUAACAGACAGUAGUCAGGCUUGCCUUUCAGUCAGGUGUCAGUGUGAGGGUUAACAGACAGUAGUCAGGCUUUCCUUUCAGUCAGGUGUCAGUGUGAGGGUUAACAGACAGUAGUCAGUCUUGCUUUUCAGCCAGGUGUCAGUGUGAGGGUUAACAGACAGUAGUCAGGCUUGCCUUUCAGUCAGGUGUCAGUGUGAGGGUUAACAGACAGUAGUCAGGCUUGAUCUUCAGUCAGGUGUCAGUGUGAGGGUUAACAGACAGUAGUCAGGCUUGCCUUUCAGUCAGGUGUCAGUGUGAGGGUUAUAAGACAGUAGUCAGGAAUGGUCUUCAGUCAGGUGUCAGUGUGAGGGUUAACAGACAGUAGUCAGGCUUGCCUUUCAGUCAGGUGUCAGUGUGAGGGUUAACAGACAGUAGUCAGGCUUGCCUUUCAGUCAGGUGUCAGUGUGAGGGUUAACAGACAGUAGUCAGGCUUGCAUUUCAGUCAGGUGUCAGUGUGAGUGUUAACAGACAGUAGUCAGGCUUGCCUUUCAGUCAGGUGUCAGUGUGAGGGUUAAAAGACAGUAGGCAGGCUUGCCUUUCAGUCAGGUGUCAGUGUGAGGGUUAACAGACAGUAGUCAGGCUUGCCUUUCAGUCAGGUGUCAGUGUGAGGGUUAACAUACAGUAGUCAGGCUUGCCUUUCAGUCAGGUGUCAGUGUGAGGGUUAACAGACAGUAGUCAGGAAUGAUCUUCAGUCAGGUGUCAGUGUGAGGGUUAACAGACAGUAGUCAGGCUUGCCUUUCAGUCAGGUGUCAGUGUGAGGGUUAACAGACAGUAGUCAGGCUUGCCUUUCAGUCAGGUGUCAGUGUGAGGGUUAACAGACAGUAGUCAGGCUUGACUUUCAGUCAGGUGUCAGUGUGAGGGUUAACAGACAGUAGUCAGGCUUGCCUUUCAGUCAGGUGUCAGUGUGAGGGUUAACAGACAGUAGUCAGGAAUGAUCUUCAGUCAGGUGUCAGUGUGAGGGUUAACAGACAGUAGUCAGGCUUGAUCUUCAGUCAGGUGUCAGUGUGAGGGUUAACAGACAGUAGUCAGGCUUGCCUUUCAGUCAGGUGUCAGUGUGAGGGUUAACAGACAGUAGUCAGGCUUUCCUUUCAGUCAGGUGUCAGUGUGAGGGUUAACAGACAGUAGUCAGGAAUGAUCUUCAGUCAGGUGUCAGUGUGAGGGUUAACAGACAGUAGUCAGUCUUGCUUUUCAGUCAGGUGUCAGUGUGAGGGUUAACAGACAGUAGUCAGGCUUGCCUUUCAGUCAGGUGUCAGUGUGAGGGUUAACAGACAGUAGUCAGGCUUGAUCUUCAGUCAGGUGUCAGUGUGAGGGUUAACAGACAGUAGUCAGGCUUGCCUUUCAGUCAGGUGUCAGUGUGAGGGUUAUAAGACAGUAGUCAGGAAUGAUCUUCAGUCAGGUGUCAGUGUGAGGGUUAACAGACAGUAGUCAGGCUUGCCUUUCAGUCAGGUGUCAGUGUGAGGGUUAACAGACAGUAGUCAGGCUUGCCUUUCAGUCAGUUGUCAGUGUGAGGGUUAACAGACAGUAGUCAGGAAUGAUCUUCAGUCAGGUGUUAGUUUGAGGGUUAACAGACAGUUUUCAAGCUUGCCUUUCAGUCAGGUGUCAGUGUGAGUGUUAACAGACAGUAGUCAGGCUUGCCUUUCAGUCAGGUGUCAGUGUGAGGGUUAACAGACAGUAUUCAGGCUUGCCUUUCAGUCAGGUGUCAGUGUGAGGGUUAACAGACAGUAGGCAGGCUUGCCUUUCAGUCAGGUGUCAGUGUGAGGGUUAACAGACAGUAGUCAGGCUUGCCUUUCAGUCAGGUGUCAGUGUGAGGGUUAACAGACAGUAGUCAGGCUUGCCUUUCAGUCAGGUGUCAGUGUGAGGGUUAACAGACAGUAGUCAGGCUUGAUCUUCAGUCAGGUGUCAGUGUGAGGGUUAACAGACAGUAGUCAGGCUUGCCUUUCAGUCAGGUGUCAGUGUGAGGGUUAACAUACAGUAGUCAGGAAUGAUCUUCAGUCAGGUGUCAGUAUGAGGGUUAACAGACAGUAGUCAGGCUUGCCUUUCAGUCAGGUGUCAGUGUGAGGGUUAACAAACAGUAGUCAGGCUUGCCUUUCAGUCAGGUGUCCGUGUGAGGGUUAACAGACAGUAGUCAGGCUUGCCUUUCAGUCAGGUGUCAGUGUGAGGGUUAACAUACAGUAGUCAGGAAUGAUCUUCAGUCAGGUGUCAGUGUGAGGGUUAACAGACAGUAGUCAGGCUUGCCUUUGAGUCAGGUGUCAGUGUGAGGGUUAACAGACAGUAAGUAGUCAGGCUUGCCUUUCAGUCA